AACAGAAACAUCAACAACAUCAGUAAGUACACCGAUAGUAGAUAUUGCUUCAUGCCGAUACAACUGUGGAGGAAGUUACGGACUAUGUUCCUGCGAUUACAACUGUGCUUACUAUGGCAUG